CGCUAUGGAAGUUGAGAUCGUUGAGUUUCUCUCUUCCCCAGGCCUCCUCUCCCAGCCUUGGCACAUGCUACACUGGAAGGAGUCUGUAUGGCUUUUUGCCCAUUAGGAAACAGCAAAGAAAACAGGACCCAAGCUGUGUAAGCCACAGUGCAGAAUGGCAGGACUGCCCGACAGGGAAAUGUAAUCAAAGGCAGUCAAUUAAAACAGAGACAAGAGAGAGCCGGACAUUCAGCCUUGGAGAUGGAACCCAGCUGUUGAUGAGGGGCUCAACUGAGGCUUUGCCAGGAUCCCUGAGAACAGAAGGUCUGGUAGAGAAAAAAGAACGUGAUACCAUUAGACAAAGUCUGAUAACAUGCAAGUGUGGGAAAGAUAUCGGCAUUGUCAAAAGCACCUGCCAACCUAUCGUGGUAUGAGACCUGGGCAUGUUCCAAAAACAACAUGGAAUACAGACUGCUGUGUUUUGAAGACCUGACCCAAAUUAUGUAUUUAUGCAGAGGUUGAAGUUCUCACGAGCAACGGGUGAAAUUCUUAGGACAGAAGUUUUGGGCAGGAGAGGACGUAGUACUGAAAGUCAGGAGUAUGAGGCACUAAAGGCACCAAGUUGCAGAGAAAUGCUAGCAAUAUCCAAUAUCCAUAACAAACUCCUAGCACUGGUGUACAGCGGGGAUAGUACUGGAAUCCCUAGGGGAAAGGAGCAGAGUAUAUGAUUAUACUAGAAUCACCAGUUAAAGUGUUGACUGGUGACGCCUGCACUGGAGUUAGAU